rnacentral:rRNA from 1 species
UACGGGGGGGGCAAGCGUUGUUCGGAAUUACUGGGCGUAAAGGGCUCGUAGGUGGCCAACUAAGUCAGACGUGAAAUCCCUCGGCUUAACCGGGGAACUGCGUCUGAUACUGGAUGGCUUGAGUUCGGGAGAGGGAUGCGGAAUUCCAGGUGUAGCGGUGAAAUGCGUAGAUAUCAGGAGGAACACCGGUGGCGAAGGCGGCUAUCUGGACAGAAACUGACGCUGAGGCGCGAAAGCUAGGGGAGCAAACAGG